UAGUAGAAAGCGAAGAAUUGCGUUUAGUUUCGACCUAAAUUUUGGUGUGACCUCUACUAU
rnacentral:tRNA from 1 species